UACGUAUGGUGCAAGCGUUAUCCGGAUUUACUGGGUGUAAAGGGAGCGCAGGCGGUACGGCAAGUCUGAUGUGAAAGCCCGGGGCUCAACCUCGGUACUGCAUUGGAAACUGUCGGACUAGAGUGUCGGAGGGGUAAGUGGAAUUCCUAGUGUAGCGGUGAAAUGCGUAGAUAUUAGGAGGAACACCAGUGGCGAAGGCGGCUUACUGGACGAUUACUGACGCUGAGGCUCGAAAGCGUGGGGAGCAAACAGG
rnacentral:rRNA from 1 species